UACGAAGGGGCGAGCGUUGUUCGGAUUUACUGGGCGUAAAGGGCGCGCAGGCGGUCAUUUUUGUCGAGUGUGAAAGCCCCGGGCUUAACCUGGGAACUGCGCUCGAAACGGGAUGACUAGAGAUCGGGAGAGGAGAGUGGAAUUCCCAGUGUAGAGGUGAAAUUCGAUAGAUAUUGGGAAGAAGCACCGGAUGGCGAAGGCGGCUCUCUGGACCGAUACUGACACUGAGGAGCGAAAGCCAGGGGAGCAAACGGG
rnacentral:rRNA from 1 species